rnacentral:rRNA from 1 species
CCUACGGGGGGCAGCAGUGGGGGAUAUUGCACAAUGGGGGGAACCCUGAUGCAGCGACGCCGCGUGGGUGAAGGAGCGUUUCGGCGCGUAAAGCCCUAUCGGCAGGGAAGAAGGAGGACGGUACCUGACUAAGAAGCCCCGGCAAACUACGUGCCAGCAGCCGCGGUAAUACGUAGGGGGCAAGCGUUAUCCGGAUUUACUGGGGGUAACGGGGUCGCAGACGGCUGCGCAAGCCAGGAGUGAACGCCCGGGGCCCAACCCCGGGACUGCUCUUGGAACUGCGCGGCUGGAGUGCAGGAGGGGCAGGCGGAAUGCCUGGUGUAGCGGUGAAAUGCGUAGAUAUCACACAGAACACCGAUUGCGAAGGCAUCUCACGGAUCCGCGAUUGACGCUGAUGCACGAAAGCGUGGGUAUCAAACAGGAUUAGAUACCCCGGUAGUC